GAAAGAAAGAUUUAAAAAAAAUGUGAGUUGCCUUGGGCUUUGGGGAAACACGAUCACAAGGAAAUAUUGUCAGUAAAUGUGCUCAGCAAGUGGGACCUUUAAGGUCUGUGCCCUCAAAACUGCAGCAACAUGAAGAGGGAGUUCAAAGAAUCACAAGGAUAAGAUAAUGAGAGGAUACAAGACUAAAAGAAGUAACUUUCCCAGUAAAAACAAACCAAUCCUGAAUCAGUCCCAGCAAAUGGGAGAGAGAAGUUGAUUGCUGGUGAAAACAGUAACUCCAUACCACUUAUUUGGGGCCUGGGUUAUCUGCUCAACAAUGCCAAGAUCAGCAACAGCUAUAGCAAAUGGUAUAACUUUUAUUUAAUUCUUGAUAAUCUACUCUUAAUUGCUAGGUACUGUCCUCCAUUACUGACCACAUAGGGUUAUUAAAAGGGCACUUUUAUGUAUCAGUACUCCAUCUAAUACUUCUAUUACUAAGAACAAAAUAUCUUUUAAACUCCCUCUCCCGACCCCACAUUUAACAUUAACUAGAUGGGAUGAUUUAGGCUUUCAUAGUGCACUACCAGCAAUGCCCAACAUAUAAGUUACUAAUGUAAAUAUCCAGAGCAGGUAUUCCAAAGAAUUCAAUAAUGCCCAUGGACACAAUACAUUUCCCCUGAUCAGGCACCAUAACUGAGGCCCAAAUAGGUUUACUUUGGUGGUUUGCCCCCCAAAAAGAGGAUGGGGCAACCUUUUUAAAGUCAUAGAGGGUAUGCUGGUAUUAGCAAUAACUUGGCUGCUAGUCUCUAGCAUUCCCUUUUAUGUAUUUCAGACCCCUGUUCUUUCAAACCAAUAGUAAUUUGGGUAUACAGCCUUUGGCUCAUGGGGUGGGAACAAAGAAAGAUAAAUUUUGGCUCUCCCCAUCCAGGGUCUUAUAAAUUACAAAGAGUUCUCAGAUUGUCAUAUAUGUGUGUGUAUUUAAGGUAGGAAUUUAAUUAGGUGAAAUAGGAACUUUCAGGAAUAUUUGAAAUUUUAACAGGGCAGAAGAUCAAUUAUCUUAUCUACUUUGUGUUUUAGGAGUUUUUAUGGAAUUACCAAGUGAUGGUAAUGCAAAUCAUGCCCAUUAUCCUAAGAAUACCUAAUUGUGUGAACAACCAGCAACACUAGCUGCACCUGAACCAGAUUCCUUACUGAAAUGUGGUUACCAGAAAGACUACAGCAUUCCACUUUAUAUAUGGUCUGAACGUAGAAGGAUAUGUUAGGACUGUCAUCCAACUGAUUCUGAAUACUGCCAAGGAUUGAAAUGGCUUUUAAAAGAUUUUUUCUUUCAUACUGUUGGAUCACAAUUGAAUUGGUUGAAAAACCUCUGUAAAGUGAUCAGAACUUAAUUUUUACAAACUGUCAUUUACUUAUCUAUUAUGUAUGUUAGCAGUUAAUAUGAUAAAAUGUGCUAUUUUACUUUAAGAACAGACAUUUCCAACAAAAACCUAAGUUUUAUAAAUUACAAGAAGUCCCUUUCCUCUAGGUGUUCAGCAGAGUGUAUAGAACAUAUUUAGCAAUUAAUAAAUAUUUGCUGACUGAAAAGAACAACACAUAAUGGAAAAAGGUCACCUAAACUGAAUUCAUUUUAAAAUGUGGACAGACAUUUCAAAGUUGAAUGAAAAAACUUUUUUAUUGGAACUUCAUGUUUAAAAGUGGAAUUAAAUAUCACUAAAAUUUAUUUUAUUUUAUUCUUUAUAUUUUGAACUAAUUUUUAAAAUAAAGAAAUAAUUUUUUCUUUGGAGUUACUCUGGAGAGUAAUUGGGAACUAUGCUCAGAAAGUUAUCAAACUGUGCAUACCCUUUGAUCCAGCAGUGUUUCUACUAGGAUUACACUGCAAAGAGAUCUUAAAGGAGGGAAAGGGACCCAUAUGUGCAAAAAUGUUUGUGGCAGCCCUUUUUGUAGUGGCAAGAAACUGGAAACUGAGUGGAUGCCCAUUGAUUGGAAAAUUGCUGAAUAAGUGAUAGUAUAUGAAUGUUAUGGAAUAUUAUUGUUCUGUAAGAAACGAUCAGCAGGAUGAUUUUGGGAGACCUGGAAAGACUUCCAUGAACUGAUGCUAAGAGGAGUAGAAUCAAGGAAACAUUAAACACAGCAACAAGAUUUUUUGAUGAUCAACUGUCAUGGACUUGGCUCUUUUCAACUCUGAGGUGAUUCAGCUCAAUUCUAAUAGAUUUGUGAUGGAGAGAGUCAUCUGCAUUCAGAGAGAGGACUAUGGGGACUGAAGUGGUUCAAAGCAUAGUUUCUUCACCCUUUUUUUCCUUCUUGUCGUUUGCUUGCUUGUUUUUAUUCUCGUCUCCCCCGUUCUCCCCCUUUUCAUCUGAUUUUUCUUGUGUAGCAUGACAAAUGUGAAUGGCUCUCUCCAUCACAAUGUGGAAAUAUGUUUAGAAGAAUUGUACAUGUUUAAUCUAUAACGAAUUACUUACUAUAUAGGGAAGGGGGAAGGAAAGAGGGAGGGAGAAAAAUUUAGAGCGGAAGGUUUUGCAAGGGUGAAUGUUGAAAACGAUCUUUGCAUGUAUUUUGAAAAAUAAAAAGCUAUUAUUAUAAAAAAUAUAAAUAAGUGGUCAAAGCAAGUGUUUCUGGGAGCAUAUGUUUUUCUACAAAACUGUACAUAACAUUACAUCUUAUGGAGUAUGUCAUAAAGAGGAUCAACACUACAAAAACACUCCAUAGCUUCAUCAGUUUCACAAGGGUCUUUCUUAAUCGUUUAUAUAUAUAUCUAAAUCGAUAUUUAUAAUAUCGUAUAUUAUAAUUAUUUAUUAAUCAUUUAUUUAAUUCUUUUUUUUAGCUUUUUAUUUACAAGAUAUAUGCAUGGGUAAUUUUUCAGCAUUGCAAAAUCUUCUGUUCCAAUUUUUCCCCCUCCUUCCCUAGAUGGCAGGUAGACCAAUACAUGUUAAAUAUGUUAAAGCUAAAUUAAUUCUUUUGAAGAUAAAUAAUCAAAGAUUGAAAAAAUAAAUGGGCAGCAAGAGAACCUUUUUUUUUUUUUUUUUUUUUUUUAGAGAACCUAAUGUUAAGGGGAGAAGAUCUGGAUGUUGUUUGGAGACCUAAUUUUACAAGUGGCCAAUUCAUUAAUAAUUAUUUUUAUUCUUUUCUUUUUUGAUGAUGACUUUUGCUUCUUUAUGCAGUCCUCAUUAGAAGGCAGGCAAUUUGGCAUAGUAAGCUGGCCAAGAAGGAAAAGAA